UACGGAGGGUGCAAGCGUUAUCCGGAUUCACUGGGUUUAAAGGGUGCGUAGGUGGGCAGGUAAGUCAGUGGUGAAAUCUCCGGGCUUAACUCGGAAACUGCCAUUGAUACUAUCUUUCUUGAAUACCGUGGAGGUCAGCGGAAUAUGUCAUGUAGCGGUGAAAUGCUUAGAUAUGACAUAGAACACCAAUUGCGAAGGCAGCUUACUACACAGUUAUUGACGCUGAGGCACGAAAGCGUGGGGAUCAAACAGG
rnacentral:rRNA from 1 species